AAGCCGGAUCGGGCUAAGCCGGCCCGCCCUCCGCCCGGCGCCUCCGCUCCCCGGAAGCAUCACUCCAAGUCUUAUUUGGCCAGGCAGGCCGCUGUUCUUGAAAUUCAGCAGUCGCCCGAUUUGGACUCCGCUCUCGAAAGGUCCUGACUGAGUGGAUAACGUGAUUGCCCCACUAUUUCGAUGUUGUUGUGAAGUGCUUAGGUUGUUUAAUUUGCUACGCGUCAUGUUUGUUUUCAAAUCUUGAUUAAAUUUUGAGGAUUUAAUUGCACCACUCGAAGGUUUAGGGCUUGAUUGUAUUCUGUAUGUGCGCUUCCGGUGUGUUUUCCCCCUUUAUUCGUCUAUGCAACAUUUUAUGAUAAAUCCCGUAUGGAAUUUUGUGCCUGCUUUAGGGAACCGACCCUUUCACUUGCUAGACUUAUCUUUCAAAUGUCAUAGAACAUGAAAUUUAAUAUAUUUUGAGGAAAAAAAAAACAGAAAUUUCAUUGCAUAUGGUAUCGGGCUCAAGAUUCGACAAUCUUGGAAGAUUGCAUGAAAUCAUCUUUCACAAGUUCAUACAUUCCCUCUCAACAUCUAAUGUGAUGGACAUCUUGAAAUCAUGGAUCACUGUUUCUGCUUUUGCUGUUUGGUGGUGUUCUGAAGGUGCAGGACUUGAAUGCCAUUUUGAGGUAUUUUGGGAAGCUCAACCGGAUGCAAGAUAUCUCCAAGCUCUUUCAGUAUAUGCAGAAGCAUGAGAAGAUCAGUGCUUCAAGUUAUAGCAGUUAUAUAAAGUUCACAGGGACAAGCCACAACCCUUUGAAUGCACUGGAAAUCUAUAACAGUAUUCUGGAUGCCUCAAUGAGAAUCAAUGUCUUUAUAAGUAAUGCUGUUCUUAGUUGCCUCGUCAGAAAUGGCAAAUUCGGCGUCGGCAUGAAAUGUUUUCAACAAAUGAAGCAGGAUGGGCUCAAACCGGAUAUCAUUACAUAUAGUACGCUGCUUGCAGGUUGCAUGAAGGUCAAUGAUGGUUACACCAAGGCAUUGGAACUGAUACAGGAACUGGAGAAUAAUGGUCUUGAAAUGGAUAGUGUAAUCUAUGGGACUCUUAUUGCUGUGUGUGCUUCAAACAAUCAUUGUGAAGAUGCAGAGCGCUUCUUCAAGAAAAUGGUGAAUGAAGGCCAUGCACCCAAUGAAUUCCAUUAUAGCUCUUUAUUAAAUGCAUACUCUGCUGAUGGUAAUUACAAGAAGGCCGACACCUUGGUGCGGGAUAUGAAAUCUGCAGGCUUAGUUAUCAAUAAGGUAAUUUUGACUACUCUGCUGAAGGUUUACGUCAGAGGAGGCUUAUUUGAUAAGUCAAGAGAAUUAUUGGCUGAACUGGAACUCUUAGGCCAUGCCAAAGAUGAGAUGUCGUACUGUCUAUUUAUGGAUGGCCUGGCUAAGGCUGGAAGGACAGAUGAAGCUAAAUCAGUGUUUGACGAAAUGAUGGGAAAAUCUGUCAAAUCUGAUGGCUAUGCGCACUGCAUCAUGAUUUCAGCAUUUUGCCGGUGUGGGCUUUUACAAGAGGCCAAACUGUUGGCCAAAGACUUUGAAGCCAAAUUUAACAGAUAUGACUUGGUAAUAUUGAAUACCAUGCUGGGCGCCUAUUGCAGAGCAUGUGAAAUGGAGAGUGUCAUGCAAACAUUGAAGAAGAUGGAUGAACUAGCUAUCAGUCCUGAUUACAGUACCUUUCAUAUCCUAGUCAAAUACUUCUUCAAGGAGAGAUUAUAUCUGCUUGCUUACAGGACUAUGCAGGACAUGCAUAAAAAGGGGCACCAACCAGAGGAGGGACUUUGCUCCUCCCUAAUCUUUCAACUUGGUAAAAUGAAUGCCUACUCAGAAGCUUUUUCUGUUUACAAUAUGUUGAGGUAUAGCAAAAGAAGUAUGUGUAAGGCUCUCCAUGAGAAAAUUCUGCAUAUUCUGAUUUCAGGACGGCUUUACAAGGAGGCUUAUGUCGUCGUCAAGGACAAUGUGGGAUUAAUCUCCAAGCAAGCAGUUAAGAAGUUUGCAACUGCAUUUAUGAAGUCGGGUAAUGUCAACUUGAUAAAUGAUGUGUUGAAGGUCAUCCAUGCCUCCGGAAAUAAGAUUGAUCAGAAAUUAUUUAAUAUGGCUGUAUCACGAUUUAUUGUUCUGCCUGAGAAGAAGGAAUUACUUAUUCAACUACUGCAGUGGAUGUCUGGUCACGGUUAUGCUAUUGAUUUGUCAACAAGAGACCUCAUUCUAAAAAAUUCACGCUUCUUUGGUGAUGAGCUUAUUAAGGAAACACUGUCCAAGCAUCAGUUACGUUUGAAAGGAGUGAGGUCUCAUAAGAGGAAGGAGUGAAUUUCAGGAACUGGCUCCUCUGCCUUUCGCGUUUGACUCAUAAUUCCUAUACAGCGUUGUAAGUUGUUGAAAGCGGUAUUUCUUGAAACCCAUCAAGCUACAUGACCUACUGCAGCAAUCAUCGCCCAUAAUGGAGGUUACCUCUCUUGCUUGGUAUGUUGUGCCUGCCCCUGCUGAUUAUGCAAGACAUCACAAUCUCAUGGUUGAACUUUGAUAAAACAGAGCUGGCUUAUGAUGCUGUCAAGAAGUAUAUGUGCUUAUGCUUGGCCAGAGGUUAAAUUUAGCAGGAGAAUGAUUAGAGCAAGCUCCCUGUCUUAUUGGUUGAAGUUAGUUCGCCUGAAUUUUUGUUCUUGAACUUCCUUGAUUUACGGAUUAUCUCGGACAAUGUACAUAGCCUAACAGUUGCUGGUGUAGAGUUUUUC